CCUACGGGAGGCAGCAGUGAGGAAUAUUGGUCAAUGGACGAGAGUCUGAACCAGCCAAGUAGCGUGAAGGAUGACUGCCCUAUGGGUUGUAAACUUCUUUUAUAUGGGAAUAAAACGUUCCACGUGUGGGAUUUUGUAUGUACCAUAUGAAUAAGGAUCGGCUAACUCCGUGCCAGCAGCCGCGGUAAUACGGAGGAUCCGAGCGUUAUCCGGAUUUAUUGGGUUUAAAGGGAGCGUAGGUGGAUUGUUAAGUCAGUUGUGAAAGUUUGCGGCUCAACCGUAAAAUUGCAGUUGAAACUGGCAGUCUUGAGUACAGUAGAGGUGGCGGAAUUCGUGGUGUAGCGGUGAAAUGCUUAGAUAUCACGAAGAACUCCGAUUGCGAAGGCAGUUCACUGGACUGCAACUGACACUGAGGCUCGAAAGUGUGGGUAUCAAACAGGAUUAGAUACCCUAGUAGCC
rnacentral:rRNA from 1 species